ACGUACGCAACCUUCCUUUAACUGGAAGAUAGCCCACCGAAAGGUGGAUUAAUACUCCAUAAUAUAUUGAAGAGGCAUCUUUUUGAUAUUAAAGCUCCGGCGGUUAAAGAUGGGCGUGCGUCUGAUUAGGUAGUUGGCGGGGUAACGGCCCACCAAGCCUUCGAUCAGUAGCUGAUGUGAGAGCAUGAUCAGCCACACGGGCACUGAGACACGGGCCCGACUCCUACGGGAGGCAGCAGUAAGGAAUAUUGGUCAAUGGACGCAAGUCUGAACCAGCCAUGCCGCGUGGAGGAUGAAGGCCCUCUGGGUUGUAAACUUCUUUUCUUUGGGACGAAACCCCUGUUUCUACGGGGACUGACGGUACCAGAGGAAUAAGCACCGGCUAACUCCGUGCCAGCAGCCGCGGUAAUACGGAGGGUGCAAGCGCUAUCCGGAUUCACUGGGUUUAAAGGGAGCGUAGGUGGGCUUUUAAGUCAGUGGUGAAAUCUUUGGGCUUAACCCGAAAACUGCCAUUGAUACUAUUAGUCUUGAAUUCUCUGGAGGUAAGCGGAAUAUGUCAUGUAGCGGUGAAAUGCUUAGAUAUGACAUAGAACACCCAUUGCGAAGGCAGCUUACUACGGAGACAUUGACACUGAGGCUCGAAAGCGUGGGGAUCAAACAGGAUUAGAUACCCUGGUAGUCCACGCCCUAAACGAUGAUUACUCGACAUUAGCGAUAUUACAGUUAGUGUCUAAGCGAAAGCAUUAAGUAAUCCACCUGGGAAGUACGACCGCAAGGUUGAAACUCAAAGGAAUUGGCGGGGGUCCGCACAAGUGGUGGAGCAUGUGGUUUAAUUCGAUACGCGAGGAACCUUACCUGGGCUAGAAUGCUGGGAGACCGCAGGUGAAAGCCUGUUUUGUAGCAAUACACUGCCAGUAAGGUGCUGCAUGGCUGUCGUCAGCUCGUGCCGUGAGGUGUUGGGUUAAGUCCCGCAACGAGCGCAACCCCUAUCUUUAGUUGCCAUCAGGUAAUGCUGGGAACUCUAAAGAAACUGCCGUCGUAAGACGUGAGGAAGGAGGGGAUGAUGUCAAGUCAUCAUGGCCUUUAUGCCCAGGGCUACACACGUGCUACAAUGGGGGGGACAAAGGGCUGCCACUUAGCGAUAAGGAGCUAAUCCCAAAAACCCUCUCUCAGUUCAGAUUGGAGUCUGCAACUCGACUCCAUGAAGCUGGAAUCACUAGUAAUCGUAUAUCAGCAAUGAUACGGUGAAUACGUUCCCGGACCUUGCACACACCGCCCGUCAAGCCAUGGAAGCUGGGUGUACCUAAAGUCGGUAACCGCAAGGAGCCGCCUAGGGUAAAACUAGUGACUGGGGCUAAGUCGAAACAAGGUAGCCGUACCGGAAGG
rnacentral:rRNA from 1 species